GGACAUGUGCCCGAAAGUCAGGGCUUACCUUGAUAGGGUAAAUUAUAGAGGUUCAAACCCCCUCAUCUCCC
rnacentral:tRNA from 1 species